rnacentral:rRNA from 1 species
CUGGCUCAGGAUGAACGCUAGCGACAGGCUUAACACAUGCAAGUCGAGGGGCAGCACGGGAGUAGCAAUACUUGGUGGCGACCGGCGCACGGGUGAGUAACGCGUAUGCAACUACCUAUCAGAGGGGAAUAACCCGGCGAAAGUCGGACUAAUACCGCAUAAAACAGGGGCACCGCAUGGUGAUAUUUGUUAAGAAAUUCGCUGAUAGAUGGGCAUGCGUUCCAUUAGGUAGUUGGUGAGGUAACGGCUCACCAAGCCGACGAUGGAUAGGGGAACUGAGAGGUUGGUCCCCCACACUGGUACUGAGACACGGACCAGACUCCUACGGGAGGCAGCAGUGAGGAAUAUUGGUCAAUGGGCGGGAGCCUGAACCAGCCAAGUCGCCGUGAAGGAAGAAGGAUCUAUGGUUCGUAAACUUCUUUUGCAGGGGAAUAAAGUGCAGGACGUGUCCUGUUUUGUAUGUACCCUGAGAAUAAGGAUCGGCUAACUCCGUGCCAGCCGCCGC